UAUUAAGCGGAGGAAAAGAAACUAACUAGGAUUUCCUUAGUAGCGGCGAGCGAACAGGAAUGAGCCCAGCACCGAAUCCCGCGGUUCUGCCGCCGGGAAAUGUGGUGUUCGGGAGGGUCCAAUUCUCCCCGCGGUGUCGGACCGCGUCCAAGUCCAUCUUGAAUGGGGCCACUUACCCGUAGAGGGUGCCAGGCCCGUAGUGACCGGGACGCGCCGUGGGAGGACCUCUCCUUA
rnacentral:rRNA from 1 species